AUAGAACACUUUUUAGUCAGAUCUGAAUAGAAAUUUUUAGAACAGAACCGAGAAUAAUUUUUUAGUCAGGACACAAGAGAACUUUUUAGACAGAACAGAACUCAAGAAGAACUUAGAAAUAAAGGCAUAGCACUGGGAGAAAAAGCCAUAGGGAGUAAACAUUAUUGUAGCAUCAGAGGAGGAGAGAGCAAGAUGGGGAGAAUGCAGGCAGCUUCUCCUCACCAUGGGACAGAACAGGUCUUUUUUUUUUUUAAUAGCAAGGCAGGCUUAGUUUUACUAAAGAGAAUAAGCUUUCUUCUUACAGACUUGGGUUUAAUUCAUUUAGCAAUAAAAGGGUAGAAUAUUUUUCUUUCUCUAUGAAAUAAAGAUUGGAGCUCUGUGUGUGUGCCCGCACGUGUGUGUGUAAUUGUGAGAAUGCAUGCAAGCUGGACCCAACUGGUAUGAAUAGAAAUGUGUAAAUGUCCAUGGGCGUAUAUGAAUUCAUGUGAGUUUAUGCAUAUUUGUUUAUGGUAAAGGGUUUUCCUUCCGUGAGCAUGAUUCUCUUCUCCUGGUUCAACAGAAGUUUAUUGCUCCCAACUUCCAGCUAGCGUGACAAGGGAGAGGCAUCUGGACAAAGGGGAAAAGGCUCCAGCAAUUAAUCCUUUACUUAACCCCUUACUGUUGGGCUGCAGGUGGUUAAUCACCCAAGCCAGGGGCUUUUAACCCUCAGAAUGAGCAGGAAAGUUUUUGGGACUUUUUAGAAGUUUUCAUCAGCAUUCAGUACUGUUAGAGAGGCAGAACAUCUGAAGAACCUCCGUCUUUAAAGCCACACCAGGGUCCUACUCUUGUGUUUUGGUUCAACCUGCUCCAGGCUGGGAGGCUCCAGCAAUAACCUGCUUUCCCAAGAAUUACAGCACUUGGGAAACAGAGGCAGUAAUUCAAGUCUAGCUCCUAUAACAGGGAAUUCAAAGCUAGCCUAGGCUAUCUAAGACUCCAUCCCUCUGUCUCAAAAACAAACAGAAAAAACUCAUAGCAAAUUACAAAAAUAUUUAUUGAUUGGUUUACCUACAGCUUGUGUACCGUUCUGAUCGGGAGCACACAGUGGGGAUGAGUGGGAUUUUAGAUCACUGACGUUUCCCAAGACAUAUGCACAGACUGCAUUUCUCACUGUAGCUGUGGUCUGAAUGACACACAAGAGUUGAUUCUAUAAAGAUUGGCGCUAUGGUAGGCUGGUCCCCCUGAGCUCAUCUAGAUACAGCUCAGCUCCUGGUAUGAGGACUGCAAGGCCAUCUUUUAGCUUUCUUUACCUUCCUGGCAUUUUACUAAUUGAAAGUGGCUGCAGGACAGGAGGGCUGCUCAUGUAAGCAGCUCUGUGAGGCACUUGGCUCCCUUAUUUCUCUUCACCCCCUCUCUGCUGGCUCCCAUCUCCCUGGGUCUGCAGCUCCCCUUGGCUCUGUCAUCUCUCUCUCUCUCUCUCUCUCUCUCUCUCUCUCUCUCUCUCUCUCAUUCUCUCUGGGGAUCUCUGAGUGUGUGUGUGUGUGUGGGGGGGCUCUUCCCUUUGCUGCUGACUCUUCCUCACCCAUAUGAGUUUUAGGCACAGGCUCAUUUGUCUUUGGUUAGAAGGGUCCCAGACUAGUUCCUGGGGUCCUACAGAUCUGUUUCCUGAGAGAACAAUUUAAAAAGGUUUACUUUGGCCCACCAUGGUAGGGACAGCGUUGUGGAGCAGAGCAGCUCAUAUCAUGGCAGAAAAGAAACAGAAAAGGACAGUUCAGCAUCAGAGACUGGGCAUCGCAGGAACCUGGCCCUAUGGACCUACAUCCUCCAGGUUAACUUUCACAACAAGAAGCUAGCAAAAUGGUGCCUUGGUUCUCCACUCCAGACUCACCUCCUCUGUGCUACACGUCAAAGGCAGACACUCAUCCCAAGGAUUCGCAGCAGCACCUCCAACGACAACUGCUUGGUUUGCUCAACAAAGACUGUGGUUUUCUUUAACUUCCCUUUAGCUACGCGUCAAAAACAAAUGGUGUUUUGGGUUUUUAACUUCCCGAAUUCUGAUGCUCAUAGAUGGAGAUGUCCACCGGAUGGUGGCCCCACCCUAUCCACAGCUGGGCUGCCCUUCUGUGCUAGGUCACAUGCACACUAGGAUGCGAUGGGCAGGGCCAGCACUGCCCUGCCUCUCCAUUAUGUUAGUCCUGAGGACUAUCCUCCCCCACUGCUGCUGCUGGACGGGCCCUUAGGAAGAGCAACCCUUUUCCUUCUGAGCUGAUCUCCUCUCACCUCCCGGUUAACAAGGGGCCCUGCUAUUUACAUCUUGCCAGGGUCCUUUGUGCUUGGCUUAGUAGGAGACAGGUCCUUGGUAAAAGGCAGGCACCCUGCCAACUCUUCCAACAUCGUUAGGGUUGGGCCGUCCAGACAAGCCGUAGGUAACUGGGCUGACUAAAAUGACAUCAGAAAUGAAUGGGAAAGAGUACAAAUUCACCUCUUGUCCCUUUCAGUUUCAGCAUGGGUAAGCCAUUUGUGUACUGUCUCCAGAGAGGUCGAUUUCUAACUUUAGGAAGGGAACAAGAAUCUAGUUUGACUCCUCCCCUUUGGUUUACAAACAAAUAAACAAAUCAGAAGUAAAUUUAACAUUUCAUUAUUUGCCAAUUAAAGUCUUAUUUAUGGUCCAAGA